AGAAGACGUCCAGGCCAAGAAGUAUCCCAACUGACCAGCAGAGGCUGAUGUUUAUUGGCAAGCAGCUGGACAAUGGGAGUACCCUGUUUGACUUAAACAUCCAGAAAAAGUCCACCUUGCAUCCGGUCCUGCAUAAGUAUAGGUUGGACCUUACGAGGCCGAACAGUCCUCUGGCUGGAGGUGGCGGGGAGUGAGGAUAGCUAUAGGAAAGACAGAAAAGACAACUCAAAGGUAAAGGUUAGAAAUCGGGAGGGCUGUCCAGUCAAAACCAUUGUAGCCUCGAGUUUAAUUCUCCGUUCUUUCCAUCAACGUCAAUAGAAUCUUCAUCUUUUAGCCUAGUGCCUCAGGUUCAUCUCCUCUUAUUCCAUGCCUCUGCCAACAGGCCCGGACCUGCCUUGACUCUGUCUGGCAGGCCGACUUUUUCCUUUCUUUUUUUCCUCUUGUUUCAGAGAAGUGGCAAAACGGCUUCCAACAGUCCUGACCAUGCGUGGUGGUAUCACUGAGCCGUCCCUUUGACAGCUUGUUCAGAAGUACAACUGUGACAAGAUGAUCUGCCUCAAGUGCUACACCCCGCCCAACCCCUAUACUCACACAACUCCUAUGCAGUCAAUUGACACAAGAAGUGUGUCCACACCAACAAUCUGAGCUCCCAAAAGAAGGUCAAA
rnacentral:lncRNA from 1 species